AGAGUUUGAUCCUGGCUCAGAACGAACGCUUGCGGCGUGCUUAACACAUGCAAGUCGAACGAGAAAGGGACUUCGGUCCUGAGUAAAGUGGCGCACGGGUGAGUAACGCGUAGGUAAUCUACCCCUGUGUUCGGGACAACAUCGGGAAACUGGUGCUAAUACCGGAUACGUUUCACAGAUAGCGAUAUAAGUGAAGGAAAGAUGGCGAUCUCUUCGGAGAGCUAUUGCACGGGGAUGAGCCUGCGUACCAUUAGCUAGUUGGCAGGGUAAGGGCCUACCAAGGCGACGAUGGUUAGCGGGUCUGAGAGGAUGAUCCGCCACACUGGCACUGGAACACGGGCCAGACUCCUACGGGAGGCAGCAGUGAGGAAUUUUGCACAAUGGGGGAAACCCUGAUGCAGCGACGCCGCGUGAGUGACGAAGGUCUUCGGAUCGUAAAGCUCUGUCAGCAGGGAAGAAAUGUGUCAUGGCUAAUAUCCACGAUACUUGACGGUACCUGCAAAGGAAGCACCGGCUAACUCCGUGCCAGCAGCCGCGGUAAUACGGAGGGUGCGAGCGUUGUUCGGAUUUACUGGGCGUAAAGGGCGCGUAGGCGGUCUUAUAAGCCAGAUGUGAAAGCCCACGGCUCAACCGUGGAAGUGCAUCUGGAACUGUAAGACUUGAGUACUGGAGGGGAGUGUGGAAUUCCCGGUGUAGAGGUGAAAUUCGUAGAUAUCGGGAGGAAUACCGGUGGCGAAGGCGACACUCUGGACAGAUACUGACGCUGAGGCGCGAAAGCGUGGGGAGCAAACAGGAUUAGAUACCCUGGUAGUCCACAGCUGUAAACGAUGUGCACUAGGUGUGGGGGGUCGUUGACCCUUUCCGUGCCGUAGCUAACGCGAUAAGUGCACCGCCUGGGGAGUACGGUCG
rnacentral:rRNA from 1 species